CUCCGAUAAGGGCAAACCACGGGAAACCGUGGGGCGCAAAGCUACGGGUCUAAGGCGUGAAUCGCUACGACCGCCGGGCUUCCGAA
rnacentral:ncRNA from 1 species